UACAGAGGGUGCGAGCGUUAAUCGGAGUGACUGGGCGUAAAGGGCGCGUAGGCGGUGGUACAAGUUUACUGUGAAUGACCGAGGCUUAACCUUGGGGUGUCAGUGAAGACUGUACGGCUAGAGUAGGGCAGAGGAGAGUGGAAUUUCCGGUGUAGCGGUGAAAUGCGUAGAUAUCGGAAGGAACAUCAGUGGCGAAGGCGGCUCUCUGGGUUCAUACUGACGCUGAGGCGCGAAAGCGUGGGUAGCAAACAGGAUUAGAAACCCUGGUAGU
rnacentral:rRNA from 1 species